rnacentral:tRNA from 1 species
ACAAAGUUGGCAGAAUUAUGUGGUUAAUUUAGGAUUAUCUUAUAAGAUUGUUAUUAGAAUCUUACUUUGUA